UACGGAGGAUGCAAGCGUUAUCCGGAAUGAUUGGGCGUAAAGCGUCCGCAGGUGGCAAUACAAGUCUGCUGUCAAAGGUCAAGGCUCAACUUUGGACAGGCAGUGGAAACUGUAUAGCUAGAGUAUGGUGGGGGCAGAGGGAAUUCCCAGUGUAGCGGUGAAAUGCGUAGAGAUUGGGAAGAACACCAGUGGCGAAAGCGCUCUGCUAGGCCAUAACUGACACUCAGGGACGAAAGCUAGGGGAGCGAAUGGGAUUAGAUACCCCAGUAGUCCUAGCCGUAAACGAUGGAUACUAGGUGUAGCUUGUAUCGACCCAAGCUGUGCCGUAGCUAACGCGUUAAGUAUCCCGCCUGGGGAGU
rnacentral:rRNA from 1 species